UUAAGCGACUAAGCGUACACGGUGGAUGCCCUGGCAGUCAGAGGCGAUGAAGGACGUGCUAAUCUGCGAUAAGCGUCGGUGAGGUGAUAUGAACCGUUAUAACCGGCGAUUUCCGAAUGGGGAAACCCAGUGUGUUUCGACACACUAUCAUUAACUGAAUCCAUAGGUUAAUGAGGCGAACCGGGGGAACUGAAACAUCUAAGUACCCCGAGGAAAAGAAAUCAACCGAGAUUCCCCCAGUAGCGGCGAGCGAACGGGGAGGAGCCCAGAGCCUGAAUCAGUGUGUGUGUUAGUGGAAGCGUCUGGAAAGGCGCGCGAUACAGGGUGACAGCCCCGUACACAAAAAUGCACAUACUGUGAGCUCGAUGAGUAGGGCGGGACACGUGGUAUCCUGUCUGAAUAUGGGGGGACCAUCCUCCAAGGCUAAAUACUCCUGACUGACCGAUAGUGAACCAGUACCGUGAGGGAAAGGCGAAAAGAACCCCGGCGAGGGGAGUGAAAAAGAACCUGAAACCGUGUACGUACAAGCAGUGGGAGCCUCUUAAUGGGGUGACUGCGUACCUUUUGUAUAAUGGGUCAGCGACUUAUAUUCUGUAGCAAGGUUAACCGAAUAGGGGAGCCGAAGGGAAACCGAGUCUUAACUGGGCGUUAAGUUGCAGGGUAUAGACCCGAAACCCGGUGAUCUAGCCAUGGGCAGGUUGAAGGUUGGGUAACACUAACUGGAGGACCGAACCGACUAAUGUUGAAAAAUUAGCGGAUGACUUGUGGCUGGGGGUGAAAGGCCAAUCAAACCGGGAGAUAGCUGGUUCUCCCCGAAAGCUAUUUAGGUAGCGCCUCGUGAAUUCAUCUCCGGGGGUAGAGCACUGUUUCGGCAAGGGGGUCAUCCCGACUUACCAACCCGAUGCAAACUGCGAAUACCGGAGAAUGUUAUCACGGGAGACACACGGCGGGUGCUAACGUCCGUCGUGAAGAGGGAAACAACCCAGACCGCCAGCUAAGGUCCCAAAGUCAUGGUUAAGUGGGAAACGAUGUGGGAAGGCCCAGACAGCCAGGAUGUUGGCUUAGAAGCAGCCAUCAUUUAAAGAAAGCGUAAUAGCUCACUGGUCGAGUCGGCCUGCGCGGAAGAUGUAACGGGGCUAAACCAUGCACCGAAGCUGCGGCAGCGACACUAUGUGUUGUUGGGUAGGGGAGCGUUCUGUAAGCCUGUGAAGGUGGCCUGUGAGGUUUGCUGGAGGUAUCAGAAGUGCGAAUGCUGACAUAAGUAACGAUAAAGCGGGUGAAAAGCCCGCUCGCCGGAAGACCAAGGGUUCCUGUCCAACGUUAAUCGGGGCAGGGUGAGUCGACCCCUAAGGCGAGGCCGAAAGGCGUAGUCGAUGGGAAACAGGUUAAUAUUCCUGUACUUGGUGUUACUGCGAAGGGGGGACGGAGAAGGCUAUGUUGGCCGGGCGACGGUUGUCCCGGUUUAAGCGUGUAGGCUGGUUUUCCAGGCAAAUCCGGAAAAUCAAGGCUGAGGCGUGAUGACGAGGCACUACGGUGCUGAAGCGACAAAUGCCCUGCUUCCAGGAAAAGCCUCUAAGCAUCAGGUAACAUCAAAUCGUACCCCAAACCGACACAGGUGGUCAGGUAGAGAAUACCAAGGCGCUUGAGAGAACUCGGGUGAAGGAACUAGGCAAAAUGGUGCCGUAACUUCGGGAGAAGGCACGCUGAUAUGUAGGUGAAGCGACUUGCUCGUGGAGCUGAAAUCAGUCGAAGAUACCAGCUGGCUGCAACUGUUUAUUAAAAACACAGCACUGUGCAAACACGAAAGUGGACGUAUACGGUGUGACGCCUGCCCGGUGCCGGAAGGUUAAUUGAUGGGGUUAGCGGUAACGCGAAGCUCUUGAUCGAAGCCCCGGUAAACGGCGGCCGUAACUAUAACGGUCCUAAGGUAGCGAAAUUCCUUGUCGGGUAAGUUCCGACCUGCACGAAUGGCGUAAUGAUGGCCAGGCUGUCUCCACCCGAGACUCAGUGAAAUUGAACUCGCUGUGAAGAUGCAGUGUACCCGCGGCAAGACGGAAAGACCCCGUGAACCUUUACUAUAGCUUGACACUGAACAUUGAGCCUUGAUGUGUAGGAUAGGUGGGAGGCUUUGAAGUGUGGACGCCAGUCUGCAUGGAGCCGACCUUGAAAUACCACCCUUUAAUGUUUGAUGUUCUAACGUGGGCCCCUUACCGGGGUUGCGGACAGUGUCUGGUGGGUAGUUUGACUGGGGCGGUCUCCUCCUAAAGAGUAACGGAGGAGCACGAAGGUUGGCUAAUCCUGGUCGGACAUCAGGAGGUUAGUGCAAUGGCAUAAGCCAGCUUGACUGCGAGCGUGACGGCGCGAGCAGGUGCGAAAGCAGGUCAUAGUGAUCCGGUGGUUCUGAAUGGAAGGGCCAUCGCUCAACGGAUAAAAGGUACUCCGGGGAUAACAGGCUGAUACCGCCCAAGAGUUCAUAUCGACGGCGGUGUUUGGCACCUCGAUGUCGGCUCAUCACAUCCUGGGGCUGAAGUAGGUCCCAAGGGUAUGGCUGUUCGCCAUUUAAAGUGGUACGCGAGCUGGGUUUAGAACGUCGUGAGACAGUUCGGUCCCUAUCUGCCGUGGGCGCUGGAGAACUGAGGGGGGCUGCUCCUAGUACGAGAGGACCGGAGUGGACGCAUCACUGGUGUUCGGGUUGUCAUGCCAAUGGCACUGCCCGGUAGCUAAAUGCGGAAGAGAUAAGUGCUGAAAGCAUCUAAGCACGAAACUUGCCCCGAGAUGAGUUCUCCCUGACUCCUUGAGAGUCCUGAAGGAACGUUGAAGACGACGACGUUGAUAGGCCGGGUGUGUAAGCGCAGCGAUGCGUUGAGCUAACCGGUACUAAUGAACCGUGAGGCUUAACCUU
rnacentral:rRNA from 2 species